rnacentral:rRNA from 1 species
GUGGGGAAUUUUGGACAAUGGGCGCAAGCCUGAUCCAGCAAUGCCGCGUGCAGGAAGAAGGCCUUCGGGUUGUAAACUGCUUUUGUACGGAACGAAACGGUCCGGGUUAAUACCCUGGGCUAAUGACGGUACCGUAAGAAUAAGCACCGGCUAACUACGUGCCAGCAGCCGCGGUAAUACGUAGGGUGCAAGCGUUAAUCGGAAUUACUGGGCGUAAAGCGUGCGCAGGCGGUUUUGUAAGACAGGCGUGAAAUCCCCGGGCUCAACCUGGGAAUUGCGCUUGUGACUGGAAGGCUGGAGUGCGGCAGAGGGGGAUGGAAUUCCGCGUGUAGCAGUGAAAUGCGUAGAUAUGCGGAGGAACACCGAUGGCGAAGGCAAUCCCCUGGGCCUGCACUGACGCUCAUGCACGAAAGCGUGGGGAGCAAACAGGAUUAGAUACCCCGGUAGUCC